rnacentral:rRNA from 1 species
GAACGUGGGGGAUAACGUAGGGAAAACUUACGCUAAUACCGCAUACGUCUACGGGAGAAAGCAGGGGACUUUCGGGCCUUGCGCGGUCAGACGGACCGAUGUUCGAUUAGCUAGUUGGUGAGGUAAUGGCUCACCAAGGCGACGAUCGAUAGCUGGUCUGAGAGGAUGAUCAGCCACACUGGAACUGAGACACGGUCCAGACUCCUACGGGAGGCAGCAGUGGGGAAUAUUGGACAAUGGGCGCAAGCCUGAUCCAGCAAUGCCGCGUGUGUGAAGAAGGCCUUCGGGUUGUAAAGCACUUUUAUCGGGAGCGAAAUACCAUCGGUUAAUACCCGGUGGGGCUGACGGUACCCGAGGAAUAAGCACCGGCUAACUCCGUGCCAGCAGCCGCGGUAAUACGGAGGGUGCGAGCGUUAUCCGGAUUCACUGGGUUUAAAGGGUGCGCAGGCGGGCUUUUAAGUCAGCGGUGAAACCCGCGGGCUCAACCCGCGGACUGCCGAUGAUACUAGGGGCCUUGGAUGUCGCUGAGGGCAGCGGAAUGGGGCAUGUAGCGGUGAAAUGCAUAGAUAUGCCCCGGAACACCGAUUGCGGAGGCAGCUGCCUAAAGGACGAUCGACGCUGAGGCACGAAAGCGUGGGUAGCGAACAGGAUUAGAUACCCUGGUAGUCCACGCCCUAAACGAUG